GACGAACGCUGGCGGCGUGCUUAACACAUGCAAGUCGAACGCUGAAGCUCAGCUUUUGUUGGGUGGAUGAGUGGCGAGCGGGUGAGUAACACGUGAGUAACCUGCCUCCUUCUUUGGGAUAACGCCCGGAAACGGGUGCUAAUACUGGAUAUUCACUGGUCUUCGCAUGGGGGUUGGUGGAAAGGGUUUUUCUGGUGGGGGAUGGGCUCGCGGCCUAUCAGCUUGUUGGUGGGGUGAUGGCCUACCAAGGCUUUGACGGGUAGCCGGCCUGAGAGGGUGACCGGUCACAUUGGGACUGAGAUACGGCCCAGACUCCUACGGGAGGCAGCAGUGGGGAAUAUUGCACAAUGGGCGCAAGCCUGAUGCAGCGACGCCGCGUGAGGGAUGGAGGCCUUCGGGUUGUGAACCUCUUUUGCUCAUGGUCAAGCCGCAACAAUGGCUGUGGUGAGGGUAGUGGGUAAAGAAGCGCCGGCUAACUACGUG
rnacentral:rRNA from 1 species